UACGGGAGUGGCAAGCGUUAUCCGGAAUUAUUGGGCGUAAAGCGUCCGCAGGCGGUCCUACAAGUCUGCCGUUAAAAAGUGGAGCUCAACUCCAUCACGGCGGUGGAAACUGUAGGACUGGAGUGUGGUAGGGGCAGAGGGAAUUCCCGGUGUAGCGGUGAAAUGCGUAGAUAUCGGGAAGAACACCAGUGGCGAAAGCGCUCUGCUGGGCCAUAACUGACGCUCAUGGACGAAAGCCAGGGGAGCGAAAGGG
rnacentral:rRNA from 1 species